ACACAUAAAAGCUUUGGUUUAUUUUGAAAAUGGGAACACAUAAGAGAUUCUCAUUUUCUCCACCCUCGUGGACCACUGCCUCUUCUCCAACAUCCUCGCCGCCCAUCACCUAACUCUGAUCGGAAAUUCUCGACGAAGGUGAUGCAGUCGUCGACGACGGGGUUGAUGUCGGGGAUGUGAGCGACGAGGCCGUCGGAGAAGCUGUGGCCCUGGUGCUGGAGGGCGCAGGUGGCGAAGUGGACGGCAAUAAGCUGGAGGAGUCAACUUGACUCGCCAGUGUAACCGUGCACGACGGCGAGGGUUAAUAAUAAUUUUAAGAUAUUGGAAGCCGCCAUAAAACGCAAAUCGCAGAACAAAAGAAAAAGGGCAACUGACACCCCACUUCCGGUUAUGAACCCCGCAACCGCCGCAGCCCCCACCGUCCCUCCACCUCCUGCCGCCGCUACUCCGACGAAACCUUCUCCGGCUUCAUGGCCUGGCUUCAUCAGAACAGCGACGCACACACAAAGAAAAGCCUUUAACCUCUUUACUUUAAACUUAGCCUCCAAAAGUAUGCAAAGUAUCACCUUUAACCUCUUUACUUUAACUCAUACUGACUUCAUACAUACAUUCCCUCCAAUGCAGAGAACACAAAAGACCACCAUUGAAGAUUCAACUCAUUCCCAUUGAACACAGAGGUAUGUUUCCCCCAUCCUUGAGGCUCAACAAAACCUUCAUUUAAAAUUUCUAUUGCAGUAAAUCUCCCAAAACUAUAACUCCAAGUUUAGAGCAAAAUUAAUUACCCAAAGUCAUCGUUAUAGGCUUAUAGCAAAACUAAAUAAUACGUUUAAAAUGUUCUAACUUUUGCAUGCAUCGCCAGCUGUGAAAUAUAUAUAUAUAUAUAUAUAUAUAUAUAUAUAUAUAUAUAUAUAUAUAUAUAUAUAUAUAUUCCGUUUUUUUCUUUGGUAGAACCAGCUGUGAACUAUAUUUACUGUGUGAUUGAAUUUCUGUUUCAUUCAACUUGAGGGACUUUCGACUCAAUCCAAUACUCACAUUAUUUUUCCAUUUGUGCAUUGGAAAGUGUAAUUCUUCCGUUCAACGCCAUUUCAACCGAUAUCCAAACACACCCUUAAUAUUGAACUCCACCUAAUCUCAACAUAUGUUUUUUUUUUUCCUUUCUAUACACAAAUAAAUGCAUGAUUGAAUAGAACAUACACUUUGUGCACUAGAACCAAAACCAGAAGAGGCAAAACAUAAAUCUUUUCCAUGAUUAUAUAAGUUAUAAAUAAGCCUUAAGCAAACUAGAACAUCUUUCUUAUGUGGGUUUUUUAGCAUCUCUACAAAUGCCUGAUAACAUCCCUCAUCGUAGGUCUCUUACGUGGAUCCUUUUCAGUGCAUCUCAAAGCCACCAAAAGCACCUUGGUAACUUGUUUCAUCACUUCAGAAUUUGAAAUUUCAUC
rnacentral:lncRNA from 1 species